GGACCCGUAGCUCAGCGGUAGAGCAUCUGAUUCCAGUUUCGCUGCAUCCAGAAGGUCAUCCGUUCAAAUCGGGUCGGGUUCA